rfam:Cricetulus griseus cell line CHO-K1, whole genome shotgun sequence.
GGCCGGUUAGCUCAGUUGGUUAGAGCAUGGUGCUAAUAAUGCCAAGGUCACGGGUUCGAUCCCGUAUGGACCA